rnacentral:rRNA from 1 species
CCUACGGGAGGCAGCAGUGGGGAAUUUUGGACAAUGGGCGCAAGCCUGAUCCAGCAAUGCCGCGUGCAGGAAGAGGGCCUUCGGGUUGUAAACUGCUUUUGUACGGAACGAAACGGUCCUGGUUAAUACCCGGGGCUAAUGACGGUACCGUAAGAAUAAGCACCGGCUAACUACGUGCCAGCAGCCGCGGUAAUACGUAGGGUGCAAGCGUUAAUCGGAAUUACUGGGCGUAAAGCGUGCGCAGGCGGUUUUGUAAGACAGGCGUGAAAUCCCCGGGCUCAACCUGGGAAUUGCGCUUGUGACUGCAAAGCUGGAGUGCGGCAGAGGGGGAUGGAAUUCCGCGUGUAGCAGUGAAAUGCGUAGAUAUGCGGAGGAACACCGAUGGCGAAGGCAAUCCCCUGGGCCUGCACUGACGCUCAUGCACGAAAGCGUGGGGAGCAAACAGGAUUAGAUACCCUGGUAGUCCACGCCCUAAACGAUGUCAACUGGUUGUUGGGUCUCUUCUGACUCAGUAACGAAGCUAACGCGUGAGUUGACCGCCUGGGGAGGUACGGCCGCGAGUAGUUAACGUUACGAAGAAGUUAGUACGGCGUUGAGACGNGCGAGGACGACGACGAGGGAGGAGG